AGAGUUUGAUCCUGGCUCAGNNUCAACGCUGGCGGCGCGCUUAACACAUGCAAGUCGAACGAGAAAGCCGGGGCGACCUGGUGAGUAAAGUGGCGUACGGGUGAGUAACACGUGUAUAAUCUACCCUGGAGUGGGGAAUAACGCUGGGAAACCGGCGCUAAUACCGCGUAAUCCCGAAAGGGCAAAGGAGCAAUUCGCUUCAGGAGGAGUCCGCGGCCGAUUAACUAGUUGGCAGGGUAAAAGCCUACCAAGGCAACGAUCGGUAGCCGGCCUGAGAGGACACACGGCCACACUGGCACUGAAACACGGGCCCCACUCCUACGGGAGGGGGCAGUGGGGAAUCUUGCACAAUGGGGGCAACCCUGAUGCACCGACGCCGCGUGAGCGAUGAAACCCUUCUGGGUGUAAAGCUCUUUCGGCAGGGAAAAUUAUGACAGUACCUGCAGAAGCAACUGCGGCUAACUACACGCCAGCAGCCGCGGUAAUACGUAGGCAGCAAGCGUUGUUCCGAGUUACUGGGCGUAAAGGGUGUGUAGGCGGNCUUCUAAGUUUGGUGUGAAACCUCCCGCGUCAACCGUGAGGGUGCGCCGAAGACUGGGGGGCUAUAGAAUGGGAUGAGAGAGAAGAAUUUCCGGNGUAGCGGGGAAAUGCGUAUAUAUCUGAAGGAAUACCUGNGGUGUAAACGGCUCUCUGNGNCAUNUCUGACACUGAGACACGAAAGCGUGGGNAGAANACACGAUUAUAUACCCUGNGAGACCACACCCUAAAACGANACGCAUUUUGG
rnacentral:rRNA from 1 species